AGCGUAAAGGCUUGUACUCUGCGGAAAAAGAACAAAACGUAGGACGACAGAAACUACUUUACGUCACCAGCUUCUCUUUCCGCAACUAACAGCCAAGCCCGUGGAAACGCUCUAGGACAAGAAGUAAAGGGAGGUGCAUUUUGGUGUAUGGGUGAACUCUUAACGGCGUUUGAUAGCAUUAAAAUUGAAAAUGUACUUCAGAAAAAGUCAGCGGCCAUAGAGGAC